UUUUUAUGUGGACCUCCGUUCUUGUGCCUCUGGUGCUUGGAUGGAACCACAUAAGCAGGUGAAACUUCUUAGAGGAACUGGCGCCCGAAAAGGCGCACGAGAAAGAGCAAUAACAGGUCUGUGAUGCCCUAAGAUGUCCGGGGCCGCACGCGUGCUACAAUGACGAUGCUACUGAGCAUGAUUAACUUGUCCGAAAGGAUUGGUGAAACUGUUCAAUCAUCGUCGUGACUGGGAUUGGGGUUUGCAAUUAUCCCCCAUGAACCAGGAAUUCCUAGUAAGCACAAGUCAUAAGCUUGUGCUGAUUACGUCCCUGCCCUUUGUACACACCGCCCGUCGCUACUACCGAUUGAAUGGUUUAGCAAGGACAUUGGAUUGAGCCCUUGCGGUUUCCGCUGCUUGGGUUUGAGAAGAUGUCCGAACUUGAUCAUUUAGAGGAAGUAAAAGUCGUAACAAGGUUUCCGUAGGUGAACCUGCGGAAGGAUCAUUA
rnacentral:rRNA from 2 species